GGGGCUGUAGUGUAGUUUGGCCAUCACCCCAGCUCGGGGAGCUGGAAACCGGGGUUCAAAUCCUCGCAGCCCCA
rnacentral:tRNA from 1 species